rnacentral:snRNA from 1 species
GGGUGAGUGCUCCCUGCCGAUAUACUAAAAUUGUAACAAUACAGAGAAGAUUAGAUGGCCCCUGCACAAGGAUGACACACAAGUUCAUGAAACGCUGGCGUUCCUG